UACGUGGGGUGCAAGCGUUGUUCGGAAUUACUGGGCGUAAAGCGCGUGUAGGCGGCUCGCUAAGUCUGAUGUGAAAUCCCUGAGCUUAACUCAGGAACUGCAUCGGAAACUAGCGGGCUAGAGUUCGGGAGAGGGCGGUGGAAUUCCUGGUGUAGAGGUGAAAUGCGCAGAUAUCAGGAGGAACACCCGUAGCGAAGGCGGCACUCUGGGCCGAUUCUGACACUGAGGAGCGAAAGCGUGGGGAGCGAACAGG
rnacentral:rRNA from 1 species